CAUUGCAAAGGCGAAUCAAACCUGCUUUUAUCAGAUACUGUCCUGACAAAAUUACUUGGAUAUUUCCAACAAUUUGGGGGCUCGUCCGGGAUUAUUAUCGCCUCUCUGGGUGUCCCCCAACUGCCCUGCACAGGAUAGGUGCACCCCGCUGAUUGCAGCGGUCCUGUCUGGGUGGUGGGGUGACUCCUUGGGACGGCCGAUAAAAAACCGAGAGUGUUACAUAAAGGACGGGCUCUGUGAAAGCCAAGGGGCAGGCAGGCACGGGUGUUGACCCAUGCAGACCGGUAACUUCGUGCACGGACCAAGGUGGAACUUUGCUGCAGUAUGUGGAUGCCACAGUAACAAAGGAAGACUGUGUACAAUGGACUGUGAGCUUGCUGAAUUUCUUGAUUUAAAUGGCUAUCAAGUUUCUCAACAGAAAGCACAACUGAUCAAAGAGAAGGAAGCAACUUGCUGAACACCAGUGCAGAGCUACCUCCAAGCCAGCAGUGUGCGACUGCACGGAGACUAUCUGUGCUGGUUGGUCAGACCCACGGGAGGAAUCGUUGGACGACGCUGAGGAGUCCUGGAUUCAUUGAUGGAAGCAGUUUCAGGUUUGUGAGACAAGGAACUGUAAGGCAGGACAUGCAGCAACUGCUACUGACAAGCUUUCCACUUCAAGACACUUGAAGCUCUUCUCAUAGUUAACGGAGAAGAAAUACACCCUUUCGUGGUGCUUCACUUGUCUGAUCGUGGGUGAAUGGAUGAACUACAUGAACUUAGUGACUAUUUCCAGUGUUAAUGAUUUGACUCUAUUUUGGCGUAACAUGAACCUUACCACAAGUGACAUUGACAGUGCUGACCAGUGCUUUGUCAACUGUAAAGAGAGGAUUAUGUGACAAGUUCAAAGUUAGAUGUCCAUAUUCAGAUGGAGCCUUACCUGAUUUGUUAGGGAGAAAGAUGCAAUUGUUUUGUUUUACCAGACAUUUUUGCUGUAACUUAUAGACUGCUGGCUGAGCAGCAAGGUUGAUGUUACAGCAAAGUUUGAAAUGAAGUCAUUGUUAACUGAAGCUGAAAACUAAUAAAUAAGAGAUAAACUUUU